rnacentral:tRNA from 1 species
GUGGGUAUAGCUCAGCAGUACAGCUCAUGCUUAACAUGCGUGAGGUCCUCGGUUCAAUCCCCAGUACCUCCA